rnacentral:lncRNA from 1 species
UCUCCUUGGCCCCCAGCCACUGUACACGGCCCAACAAAGCUGCAGAUCCUCCUGGGAGCACAAAAAGCGCUAUACAUUUAACUCUCUCUCUCUCUCUCUAAAUUUAACCCCCUAAUUUGAGUGUCAGGUUAUAGGUCCUGCAACUGCAAUCCCUCCCCUUUUUGUUUCCUAAUUCUGUCUUUGAGAUUCCUCCCACCCCCAUCCCUUUUCUGUGUGGUUUGUUGGUUGUUUUUGUACAAACUUUAAAGAGGCUGGCUGUCAGGGUAUGUUUUUUAGGUGUUAGUUCAAUUAUACUCUCAUGAUAUCAAUUUCUCCUGAAUCAUUUAUAGAUGUGAUAUUGGAUCUUGUUCUUGAUUGGGAUUUCUUUCUUUCUUUCUUCCUUUUUUUUUUUGCUGGGACUAUGGAUUUGUAUUUUUCUUAAAUUUCUGAAUUCAGAUGGGUUAUCGUUCUGCUGUUGAUUGAAUAUAAAAGUUUUCUUGUCAGAGUCCGUUUCCGAUGGUGUGGGAAAUCAACUGCAAACUCAUGAUAAAAUCUUGUACUUGUUGCAAAUUAUUUUUAGUGAUUAUGAGGGUUUUUGUUGGGACUAUUGAUUGGGACGGGGGCAAGAUGGGUCCCUAACGGAACUUAGAUUCAGAGAAAUAUGUUUUUUUUU